rnacentral:rRNA from 1 species
GAUGAACGCUGGCGGCGUGCCUAAUACAUGCAAGUCGAGCGAACAGACGAGGAGCUUGCUCCUCUGACGUUAGCGGCGGACGGGUGAGUAACACGUGGAUAACCUACCUAUAAGACUGGGAUAACUUCGGGAAACCGGAGCUAAUACCGGAUAAUAUAUUGAACCGCAUGGUUCAAUAGUGAAAGACGGUUUUGCUGUCACUUAUAGAUGGAUCCGCGCCGCAUUAGCUAGUUGGUAAGGUAACGGCUUACCAAGGCAACGAUGCGUAGCCGACCUGAGAGGGUGAUCGGCCACACUGGAACUGAGACACGGUCCAGACUCCUACGGGAGGCAGCAGUAGGGACUCUUCCGCAAUGGGCGAAAGCUUGACGGAGCAACGCCGCGUGAGUGGUGAAGGUCUUCGGAUCGUAAAACUCUGUUAUUAGGGAAGAACAAAUGUGUAAGUAACUAUGCACGUCUUGACGGUACCUAAUCAGAAAGCCACGGCUAACUACGUG